CUGGGAAGGGGAAAACUCCUUCAGCAGCCAUGGUUUCUCCUGUCUCCUGUUGGAGUUAAAGUGGCAUCAAGCUUGACUGUGAGCAUGAACAGAAGCCUGGACAUGGAAAUAUUUGGAAGGAACAAGAUCUGGUGUAUAUUUGGGUCUUCAGGUUGGUCAACGUAAAACAUUUGGUGGAUGCAGUGGCUUAAGGAGGCUCCUUGAGAGUGCCCAGGCUGUAUGAGAUGGGGCAGCAUGAAGCUGCCUGGGAUCAGAGAUCUGCUCCACCAAGUUCUGCCUCCAGCAAUGUCCAACAGAAAAUGUGUAAAGAAGACCAAGAAUAC